rnacentral:rRNA from 1 species
GACGGAGGGGGCAAGCGUUGUCCGGAAUCACUGGGCGUAAAGAGCACGUAGGUGGUCUGAUGCGUCGGCGCUGAAAACUCCAGGCUCAACCUGGAGACGCGUGCCGAUACGAUCGGACUAGAGGCAGGAAGAGGGUAGCGGAAUUCCGGGUGUAGUGGUGAAAUGCGUAGAGAUCCGGAGGAACGCCAGUGGCGCAAGCGGCUACCUGGUCCUGACCUGACACUGAGGUGCGAAAGCGUGGGGAGCGAAC